rnacentral:rRNA from 1 species
AUGAGCGGCGGCGGCGUCGGUGCCGGCGGCGGGGUCCUGGGCGCCGGCUCCUCGUACCAGAGGUUCGUCCGCACCGCGCUGGAGCAGACCCGCCACCGCACCGCCCUCACGCCACACCCCUCGCAGGAAAAGUUCAGGCUCAUACGAGCCAACGACGAUGCUGCUGUUUUGGAUGCUCUCUCAUUCACCGCCCCCAAGAUCAGACUGCUUCGCAGCUUGACAGUUGAGAAGAAAAACUCGGUCCAGGUACUUCAUCUCCAAGUCCAAAGUUCCCUUGACCAAAACCCUCCAACAACUAUCCUGAAAGGCUAUGAACUGAAAGAUAGGUUUACAUCUGAAGUUGAUUAUAUCUGA